GACGAACGCUGGCGGCGUGCCUAAUACAUGCAAGUAGAACGCUGAAGAGAGGAGCUUGCUCUUCUUGGAUGAGUUGCGAACGGGUGAGUAACGCGUAGGUAACCUGCCUUGUAGCGGGGGAUAACUAUUGGAAACGAUAGCUAAUACCGCAUAACAAUGGAUGACACAUGUCAGUUAUUUGAAAGGGGCAAUUGCUCCACUACAAGAUGGACCUGCGUUGUAUUAGCUAGUAGGUGAGGUAAUGGCUCACCUAGGCGACGAUACAUAGCCGACCUGAGAGGGUGCUCGGCCACACUGGGACUGCGACACGGCCCAGACUCCUACGGGAGGCAGCCGUAGGGCAUCUUCGGCAAUGGGGGCAACCCUGACCGAGCCACGCCGCGUGAGUGAAGAAGGUUUUCGGAUCGUAAAGCUCUGUUGUAAGUCAAGAACGGGUGUGAGAGUGGAAAGUUCACACUGUGACGGUAGCUGACCAGAAAGGGACGGCUAACUACGUG
rnacentral:rRNA from 1 species